GAUGAAGAACGCAGCGAAAUGCGAUAAGUAAUUUGAAUUGCAGAAUUCAGUGAAUCAUCGAAUCUUUGAACGCACCUUGCGCCUUUUGGUAUUCCGAAAGGCACACCUGUUUGAGCGUCAUGAAUACCUCAAUCUCCAUCUUUUCUUCGGAUUGAUGGGUGACUUGGAUGUUGAGCCCUGCUGGUAUGCUAUAUCAGCUGGCUUUAAACUUAUUAGCCGGCUCUGUACUGGAUCGGUUUGACUCGACGUGAUAAUAUUAUCGUUGAGGAUGCAUGUCUCAUGCAGCCGGAAAGUAUCAAAGCAGCUUCUAGCUUGCCUUUAGUGCACUUUUACAUUUUAGACCUCAGAUCAGGUGGGACUACCCGCUGAACUUAAGCAUAUCAAUAAGCGGAGGA
rnacentral:misc_RNA from 1 species